rnacentral:snoRNA from 9 species
ACUGGCAAGGGUGACACCCUUGCCCUCACCUAGACCCUAGUUCAUUGAUGAGAGCACCUAGUUGUUCUGAGCCAGU